rnacentral:rRNA from 1 species
CCUACGGGAGGCAGCAGUAGGGAAUAUUCCGCAAUGGGCGCAAGCCUGACGGAGCAACGCCGCGUGAGUGAAGAAGGUUUUCGGAUCGUAAAGCUCUGUCCUCGGUGACGAAACCAGACGGUAGCCGAGAAGGAAGCCACGGCAAACUACGUGCCAGCAGCCGCGGUAAUACGUAGGUGGCGAGCGUUGUCCGGAAUAACUGGGCGUAAAGGGCAUGCAGACGGUAUAUCAAGCCAAAUGUGAAAAGUAAGGGCUCAACCCUUACCCUGCGUUUGUAACUGAUAAACUUGAGUACAGGAGAGGCAAAUGGAAUUCCCAGUGUAGCAGUGAAAUGCGUAGAGAUUGGGAGGAACACCAGUGGCGAAGGCGAUUUGCUGGUCUGUAACUGACGUUGAGAUGCGAAAGCCAGGGGAGCAAACGGGAUUAGAUACCCCUGUAGUC